UACGAAGGGUGCAAACGUUGCUCGGAAUCAUUGGGCGUAAAGCGCACGUAGGCGGCUUUCUAAGUCGGGGGUGAAAUCCUGGAGCUCAACUCCAGAACUGCCUUCGAUACUGGAAAGCUCGAGUCCGGGAGAGGUGAGUGGAACUGCGAGUGUAGAGGUGAAAUUCGUAGAUAUUCGCAAGAACACCAGUGGCGAAGGCGGCUCACUGGCCCGGUACUGACGCUGAGGUGCGAAAGCGUGGGGAGCAAACAGG
rnacentral:rRNA from 1 species